AACGAACGCUGGCGGCAUGCCUAACACAUGCAAGUCGAACGAACCCUUCGGGGUUAGUGGCGCACGGGUGCGUAACACGUGGGAAUCUGCCCUUUGCUUCGGAAUAACAGUUAGAAAUGACUGCUAAUACCGGAUGAUGUCGCAAGACCAAAGAUUUAUCGGCAAAGGAUGAGCCCGCGUAGGAUUAGCUAGUUGGUGGGGUAAAGGCCUACCAAGGCGACGAUCCUUAGCUGGUCUGAGAGGAUGAUCAGCCACACUGGGACUGAGACACGGCCCAGGCUCCUACGGGAGGCAGCAGUGGGGAAUAUUGGACAAUGGGCGAAAGCCUGAUCCAGCAAUGCCGCGUGAGUGAUGAAGGCCUUAGGGUUGUAAAGCUCUUUUACCAGGGAUGAUAAUGACAGUACCUGGAGAAUAAGCUCCGGCUAACUCCGUGCCAGCCGCCGCUGUAAUAC
rnacentral:rRNA from 1 species